UCCUAUCCUAUCCUGUAUCCUACAGCCAAUCAGAUUCGAGCAAAGGUUUAUUCAUAUUUCAGAAUAAAUUACAAAAACGAAAUACGAUAUAAAAUGUUUACAAAAGAAAUAUUUAUCAAUUUUCAAUAGAAAAUAAAACAUUCUUUUCUCUAAACACAGAUUUACAUUAUAAACUUCGAGUAACACGGCGUACGAUCUAACCGUGAACGAUCACCGGAAGAAUUUGGGAAUGUAAACAACGAAGAGUCCAGGCAUCGAAAGACCGUAUUUCUUUAGCUUGUUUGGAUGAUUUAACCGAUUCUCAAUUGUGUAAAAGUGUGAUACAUGUUUUUCUGUUAAAUAUUCUCUGUUUGUUUGGAUAAUUCUACAGGAACCGUCAACAGAGGACUUGAAUAGAUGAUGUGCGAGAUCAUAAAAUGGAUUGCCUGCACUCAUGCGUCAUCACAGUAUAAAGGAUUUCAACCUAAAAAGAAACCCUGCACAUUUGCAGCUGUACAGAAUGCAGUUCAUGCCAUAUGCUGUUAGAGUAAAUGAUGAAAGAUGUUCAACCCAGUGUCAAAGAGUCCUCAGUCUAAAAUCAUGGUGCUUUUAUUAGGAGAUCAGUGUUUGUUUUCUGUGCAUUGUUGACAUUUGUAGAACUGUUCGGUUUAUGACAAUCUCUCUGACAAUAACUCUGACAUUUGAAUUUCAAUUUGAGCAUCGGUCAAGAAAGCCAAAUAAUAUGCAUGUAAAACAUUAUACAAGUGUAAUAAAAACAUUGAUAAACUUAAAUUUAAACAAAGUUCAUGUACAUGUAUCUGUGAUCUUUGCAUUGAAAUUCAUAAAUGCUGUACAUGGAUACUUUUAAUGACUGUCUCAUGGUAAUGGAAUAUUGAAUUGUUAAACAUUGUUGAGGAAUCACCUUGAAUAAAAAUAUUGUGAACUUGAUGAAGUAUUUUUCCUCAUUUAAACACUGAAAAUUUUAAGAUCAAUUGUCAAGGUCAAAUACAAAGUUUACUCAAGAAUGUGUUAUAAAUGCUGUAAGUACUGUGAAUUCUUAUGCAUGUUUUAUAAGAUGUAAGGAAUAUGUGUGGAGCAUUUUAAUAUUUCUCAAUCUGACACUGAUUAACAUUGAAGAUCAAAUGCCAAGGUCAAAUACAAAUUUGCUUUACUCAAGAAUGAGUUAUAAAUACUGUAAAU